rnacentral:rRNA from 1 species
UUGGUCAUUUAGAGGAAGUAAAAGUCGUAACAAGGUCUCCGUUGGUGAACCAGCGGAGGGAUCAUUACCGAGUUUACAACUCCCAAACCCCUGUGAACAUACCUAUACGUUGCCUCGGCGGAUCAGCCCGCGCCCCGUAAAACGGGACGGCCCGCCGCAGGACCCAUAAACCCUGAAUUUUUAUUGUAACUUCUGAGUUUAAAAAACAAAUAAAUCAAAACUUUCAACAACGGAUCUCUUGGUUCUGGCAUCGAUGAAGAACGCAGCAAAAUGCGAUAAGUAAUGUGAAUUGCAGAAUUCAGUGAAUCAUCGAAUCUUUGAACGCACAUUGCGCCCGCCAGUAUUCUGGCGGGCAUGCCUGUUCGAGCGUCAUUUCAACCCUCAAGCCCCCGGGUUUGGUGUUGGGGAUCGGGCUGCGGUUCUGCCGCGUCCCGGCCCCGAAAUCUAGUGGCGGUCUCGCUGCAGCCUCCAUUGCGUAGUAGCUAACACCUCGCAACUGGAACGCGGCGCGGCCAAGCCGUUAAACCCCCAACUUCUGAAUGUGACCUCGGGAUCAGGUAGGAAUACCCGCUGAACUUAAGCAUAUCAAUAAGCGGAGGAA